rnacentral:rRNA from 1 species
GACGAACGCUGGCGGCGUGCUUAACACAUGCAAGUCGAACGGAAAGGCCCUUCGGGGUACUCGAGUGGCGAACGGGUGAGUAACACGUGGGUGAUCUGCCCUGCACUUUGGGAUAAGCCUGGGAAACUGGGUCUAAUACCGAAUAGGACCACGCGCUUCAUGGUGUGUGGUGGAAAGCUUUUGCGGUGUGGGAUGGGCCCGCGGCCUAUCAGCUUGUUGGUGGGGUAAUGGCCUACCAAGGCGACGACGGGUAGCCGGCCUGAGAGGGUGACCGGCCACACUGGGACUGAGAUACGGCCCAGACUCCUACGGGAGGCAGCAGUGGGGAAUACUGCACAAUGGGCGCAAGCCUGAUGCAGCGACGCCGCGUGAGGGAUGACGGCCUUCGGGUUGUAAACCUCUUUCAAUAGGGACGAAGCGCAAGUGACGGUACCUAUAGAAGAAGCACCGGCCAACUACGUGCCAGCAGCCGCGGUAAUACGUAGGGUGCGAGCGUUGUCCGGAAUUACUGGGCGUAAAGAGCUCGUAGGUGGUUUGUCGCGUUGUUCGUGAAAACUCACAGCUUAACUGUGGGCGUGCGGGCGAUACGGGCAGACUAGAGUACUGCAGGGGAGACUGGAAUUCCUGGUGUAGCGGUGGAAUGCGCAGAUAUCAGGAGGAACACCGGUGGCGAAGGCGGGUCUCUGGGCAGUAACUGACGCUGAGGAGCGAAAGCGUGGGGAGCGAACAGGAUUAGAUACCCUGGUAGUCCACGCCGUAAACGGUGGGUACUAGGUGUGGGUUCCUUCCUUGGGAUCCGUGCCGUAGCUAACGCAUUAAGUACCCCGCCUGGGGAGUACGGCCGCAAGGCUAAAACUCAAAGGAAUUGACGGGGGCCCGCACAAGCGGCGGAGCAUGUGGAUUAAUUCGAUGCAACGCGAAGAACCUUACCUGGGUUUGACAUGCACAGGACGCCGGCAGAGAUGUCGGUUCCCUUGUGGCCUGUGUGCAGGUGGUGCAUGGCUGUCGUCAGCUCGUGUCGUGAGAUGUUGGGUUAAGUCCCGCAACGAGCGCAACCCUUGUCCUAUGUUGCCAGCGGGUUAUGCCGGGGACUCGUAGGAGACUGCCGGGGUCAACUCGGAGGAAGGUGGGGAUGACGUCAAGUCAUCAUGCCCCUUAUGUCCAGGGCUUCACACAUGCUACAAUGGCCGGUACAAAGGGCUGCGAUGCCGUGAGGUGGAGCGAAUCCUUUCAAAGCCGGUCUCAGUUCGGAUCGGGGUCUGCAACUCGACCCCGUGAAGUCGGAGUCGCUAGUAAUCGCAGAUCAGCAACGCUGCGGUGAAUACGUUCCCGGGCCU